rnacentral:rRNA from 1 species
AUUGAACGCUGGCGGCAUGCCUUACACAUGCAAGUCGAACGGUAACAGGUCUUCGGAUGCUGACGAGUGGCGAACGGGUGAGUAAUACAUCGGAACGUGCCUAGUAGUGGGGGAUAACUACUCGAAAGAGUGGCUAAUACCGCAUGAGAUCUACGGAUGAAAGCAGGGGAUUGCAAGACCUUGUGCUACUAGAGCGGCCGAUGGCAGAUUAGGUAGUGGGUGGGAUAAAAGCUUACCAAGCCGACGAUCUGUAGCUGGUCUGAGAGGACGAUCAGCCACACUGGGACUGAGAAACGGCCCAGACUCCUACGGGAGGCAGCAGUGGGGAAUUUUGGACAAUGGGCGCAAGCCUGAUCCAGCAAUGCCGCGUGCAGGAUGAAGGCCUUCGGGUUGUAAACUGCUUUUGUACGGAACGAAAAGCCCCGGGUUAAUACCCUGGGGUCAUGACGGUACCGUAAGAAUAAGCACCGGCUAACUACGUGCCAGCAGCCGCGGUAA